rnacentral:rRNA from 1 species
CCUACGGGAGGCAGCAGUGAGGAAUAUUGGUCAAUGGACGAGAGUCUGAACCAGCCAAGUAGCGUGAAGGAUGACUGCCCUAUGGGUUGUAAACUUCUUUUAUAAAGGAAUAAAACGAGGCACGUGUGCCUUUUUGCAUGUACUUUAUGAAUAAGGAUCGGCUAACUCCGUGCCAGCAGCCGCGGUAAUACGGAGGAUCCGAGCGUUAUCCGGAUUUAUUGGGUUUAAAGGGAGCGUAGAUGGGUUGUUAAGUCAGUUGUGAAAGUUUGCGGGUCAACCGUAAAAUUGCAAUUGAUACUGGCAGUCGUGAGUACAGUUGAGGUAGGCGGAAUUCGUGGUGUAGCGGUGAAAUGCUUAGAUAGCACGAAGAACCCCGAUUGCGAAGGCAGCUUACUAAACUGUGACUGACAUUGAUGCUCGAAAGUGUGGGUAUCAAACAGGAUUAGAUACCCCAGUAGUC